rnacentral:rRNA from 1 species
GACGAACGCUGGCGGCGUGCUUAACACAUGCAAGUCGAACGGAAAGGCCCUGCUUUUGUGGGGUGCUCGAGUGGCGAACGGAUGAGUAACACGUGAGUAACCUGCCCUUGACUUAGGGAUAACUUCAGGAAACUGGGGCUAAUACCGGAUAAGAGCUCCUGCUGCAUGGUGGGGGUUGGAAAGUUUCGGCGGUUGGGGAUGGACUCGCGGCUUAUCAGCUUGUUGGUGGGGUAGUGGCUUACCAAGGCUUUGACGGGUAGCCGGCCUGAGAGGGUGACCGGCCACAUUGGGACUGAGAUACGGCCCAGACUCCUACGGGAGGCAGCAGUGGGGAAUAUUGCACAAUGGGCGGAAGCCUGAUGCAGCAACGCCGCGUGCGGGAUGACGGCCUUCGGGUUGGUAACCGCUUUCGCCUGUGACGAAGCGUGAGUGACGGUAAUGGGUAAAGAAGCACCGGCUAACUACGUG